GACGAACGCUGGCGGCGUGCCUAAUACAUGCAAGUUGAGCGCUGACGGUUGGUACUUGUACCAACUGGAUGAGCAGCGAACGGGUGAGUAACGCGUGGGGAAUCUGCCUUUGAGCGGGGGACAACAUUUGGAAACGAAUGCUAAUACCGCAUAAAAACUUUAAACACAAGAUUUAAGUUUGAAAGAUGCAAUUGCAUCACUCAAAGAUGAUCCCGCGUUGUAUUAGCUAGUUGGUGAGGUAAAGGCUCACCAAGGCGAUGAUACCUAGCCGACCUGAGAGGGUGAUCGGCCCCAUUGGGACUGGGACACGGCCCCAACUCCUACGGGAGGCAGCAGUAGGGAAUCUUCGGCAAUGGACGAAAGUCUGACCGAGCAACGCCGCGGGAGUGAAGAAGGUUUUUGGAUCGUAAAACUCUGUUGGUAGAGAAGAACGUUGGUGAGAGUGGAAAGCUCAUCAAGUGACGGUAACUACCCAGAAAGGGACGGCUAACUACGUG
rnacentral:rRNA from 1 species